CACCUGAACUUUGUGUUUCCAAAUUCUUUUGGCCUAUGCCUAAGUUCCCUCCUUUUAAGGGAUUUGAUCAUCCUUUCCCUUUACCUCCACCUUUGGAGCUUCCACCGUUUCCUAAACCAUGCCCACCACCUCCGGUUCCGGUGUACGAGCCACCCCCAAAGGUGGAACUUCCACCACCUGUCCCGGUUCACGAGCCACCCCCAAAGGUAGAGGUUCCACCACCCGUCCCGGUUCACGACCCACCGCCAAAGGUGGAGCACCCACCUCCGGUUCCGGUUUACAAGCCACCUCCAAAGGUAGAGCACCCACCUCCAGUUCCGGUUUACAAGCCGCCUCCAAAGGUAGAGCACCCACCUCCGGUUCCGGUUUACAAGCCACCUCCAAAGGUAGAGCACCCACCUCCGGUUCCAGUACACAAGCCACCAACAAUCCCUAAGAAGCCAUGCCCGCCUAAGUCGCCGAAGAUUGAGCUUCCACCGCCAGUGCCAGUUCACAAACCACCGACUAAGAAGCCUUGUCCGCCCAUGCCACCAAAGAAAGUUGAUCCGCCACCGGUUCCAGUCCACAAGCCGCCGCCGAAAAUAGUCCUUCCACCGCCGGUACCAAUCCACAAGCCGCCAAAGAAGCCGUGCCCGC
rnacentral:lncRNA from 1 species